UUCUUGGGCUGAUGGAGUAAGUGAGUGACGGAGUGGGUUGCCAACUGUAGUUACUCCACUCAAUGCGGAAUGGCUGCAGGGAAUAUAUUCUGAUGUGCCCAAAGAAGUCUGCCCAGGGUGAAACAAAUACCUUUGAGGU
ensembl:misc_RNA